rnacentral:rRNA from 1 species
UACGAAGGGGGCUAGCGUUGUUCGGAAUUACUGGGCGUAAAGCGCACGUAGGCGGAUAUUUAAGUCAGGGUGAAAUCCCAGAGCUCAACUCUGGAACUGCCUUUGAUACUGGUAUCUUGAGUAUGGAAGAGGUGAGUGGAAUUCCGAGUGUAGAGGUGAAAUUCGUAGAUAUUCGGAGGAACACCAGUGGCGAAGGCGGCUCACUGGUCCAUUACUGACGCUGAGGUGCGAAAGCGUGGGAGCAACAGG